AGGAGUGUAAAUUGGCUGAGGGGAAGAGGGUGAACAACUAUACAGAUUCAAGGUUGGCCGGAAGCCUUCCCAAUAGCCAAAGCAAAUGCCAAGAAUACGGCAAAGAAACUGAUCCUGACUCAGUAGAAGGAACUCACAACUUGCAGCCCGGAGACUGGGUGGUGAUAAAAAGGCAUGUAAGAAAAGGACUAGUUCCAAGAUUCGAUGGUCCCUUUCAA